GAUGUUAGCGGCGGACGGGUGAGUAACACGUGGGUAACCUGCCUGUAAGACUGGGAUAACUCCGGGAAACCGGGGCUAAUACCGGAUGGUUGUUUGAACCGCAUGGUUCAGACAUAAAAGGUGGCUUCGGCUACCACUUACAGAUGGACCCGCGGCGCAUUAGCUAGUUGGUGAGGUAACGGCUCACCAAGGCGACGAUGCCGUAGCCCGACCUGAGAGGGUGAUCGGCCACACUGGGACUGAGACACGGCCCAGACUCCUACGGGAGGCAGCAGUAGGGAAUCUUCCGCAAUGGACGAAAGUCUGACGGAGCAACGCCGCGUGAGUGAUGAAGGUUUUCGGAUCGUAAAGCUCUGUUGUUAGGGAAGAACAAGUGCCGUUCAAAUAGGGCGGCACCUUGACGGUACCUAACCAGAAAGCCACGGCUAACUACGUGCCAGCAGCCGCGGUAAUACGUAGGUGGCAAGCGUUGUCCGGAAUUAUUGGGGCGUAAAGGGCUCGCAGGCGGUUUCUUAAGUCUGAUGUGAAAGCCCCCGGCUCAACCGGGGAGGGUCAUUGGAAACU
rnacentral:rRNA from 1 species